GUCGGGGCUCUGCUGCUGCCCAGGGGUGGGGCAGAGCCUGGCCUGAGGCAGGGCCUUGGCUGGUCUUCCUUUUUUUUGGGAGACAGAGGGAAGUCUCAGCUAGUGGUUCACUCCCCCCAGACGCCCACCCCCUGGAGCACUUCAGAAGUGACGGGGAGGCUCCAGUGGGGUGUGGAGGGAGGAAGAGGGAAGGUGGAGACCAGGGAGGGCUACAGAGCCCAGGGAGGGGGGAGGGCUCCGCACCCAGGCUGGGGAUUGGCCCCCUCCGCGUCCCCACGGCCAUCUCCUCAGGGAGCCCAGCUCAAAGCAAACUUCAGCUACCUGGGGUUCCCAUGGCAACCGUGGGAGAGAGGCGGCCGCGCACCUGGGCGGGCAGAGCCCGAGAAGUGGGUCAGGGGCGGCCCCGCCGGCCUGAGCAGUGCCCUGCAGGCUUUGGGGGCUCCGAACCUUGCCCUGGGCAUCUGUGCAGAGGGGCCGAGCAGCCGGGAGGGUGAGUGUGGGGCUGCGGCCAGCAGAAACAUGGCGGGCAAACAAGCCCAGGACGUCCACCCCGCCGGGGCCCGGCACAGGAGGCAGGAACCCGGCCAGGCAAGAGCUUGGUGGCGGCACCCGGAAUGCCGGUCUUCUCGGUGUUUCUCACCUUCAGCGUCAGCGUGGGAGGAGCCAGUCAGGGAACGCUGGCUGUGGGGCCGCCCUGCGUGUGCCCUGAGCCCGGGCCACUCCUGGCAGGAGGGGCCUGGGGCCCGGACAAGCAUGGGAGAGACCCUGAUGACAUUGGUGGAAGUGGGCAAGAAGAGGAAGGGUCCCAGGCCUGGCCACAGGCUGCCCCCCCUAUGUGCCACAUGCCCCCACCCCGGUACCCAAGGAGCUGUUCCUCUGGCUAAGAGGGGCCCACACCUCCCACCGCAGCUGUCGGCCUCAAAGCCAGUGCCACCAGUGGAGGACCUGCCCUGUACCUGUGACCACGCAGUGACCAGUGCCACCAGUGGAGGGCCUGCCCUGUACCUGUGA
rnacentral:lncRNA from 1 species